UACGUAGGGGGCUAGCGUUGUCCGGAUUUAUUGGGCGUAAAGCGCGUGUAGGCGGCCAGAUAGGUCUGAUGUGAAAACUGGGGGCUCAACCUCCAGCUGUCAUUGGAAACCCUCUGGCUAGAGUCCGGAAGAGGAGAGUGGAAUUCCUGGUGUAGCGGUGAAAUGCGUAGAUAUCGGAAGGAACAUCAGUGGCGAAAGCGACUUCCUGGACCAGUACCGACGUUCAGGCACGAAAGCGUGGGGAGCAAACAGG
rnacentral:rRNA from 1 species